ACCCUCCAUAUUUCAUCCUGGAAAGGCUCUUGGUGGGAGCCACAGCUGGGAGAAGGUGGUGGGCUUGGAAACAGUGUCAGGAUGAGUAUCCUGCAGACUCUUGGCCCUUUUGCCCCAUCCCUGAGGUCACAAAGGCUUCCCUUCCUGGGAUUUUGCUCACAAGCCACAGUGUUUCAGCUUCUUUCCUGGGAAGCCCAGUUUUUAACUGCCUCCCACUCUGCCCCCCUACACACCCUGCCUCGUUUCCAAUUUUAGCAGUGUUACCAGGGCAGCUUUUCAGAAAGCCUGCUUCAGUGGUUCUCGCCUGGGCCGUUUCCACAGCGGCUGUGUGCUGGGUACCAUUCACUGAGGCUCAGCAAUUGUGCCCCAUCUGUUCCUCUGGCUGCAGCCACCAAGCAUCUGUGGGGGCCGGCGAAGGCUGAAGAUGCCGAGACAAGGGGCAGGGAGGACCUGGCCACGUGAUGACCAAUGCAGCAGGGAUGCCCAGCAGGAGACUCAGAAUAAAGGCCCUUGUGACCUCCAGGGGUGGGCAAAAAAGUAGAAAAUGGAGAUCAAGUUAAAAUUAAAAGGUUUUAAAAAGUGA